AUCCAAUCAUCACCUUUCACCACUGCACUCAACCUUUCCCCAAUUCUGUUCUUUUUUUUCUUGGUGGGUUUCGAAUCCCAAUCACCAACCCAAAUAUCCUAAAAAUUUGAAAUCCCCUUUCCACACUGAUGUAAGUGUUUCUAGCAAAAUGAGUUUUGGCAGAGCGAGUAAGGUUUCUUGAUUCUGGAACACCUCCAACUAUCUUACCGACAUACUUUUUAUGAUCGUGUGGUGGUUGAAGUGAAGAACCAGGUUGCCAUGAAACCUGUCGGGGAUGAUCCUAAUUUGGGUACCCAACUUUGCUAUCGAACAAAGAAUAAUCUUCUUGGUCCUGUGCUAACUGCUCAUUUUGAAGGUGUAGAUGUAAAAUUGGAACCAUUUCAAACCUUCGUUUCACCAAAAGAUUUUGUUUUUUGCAAGCGUCAGUUCCCGCAAACGCAAAGGUGGCCGCCGGAGACGCGAUGAUUUCUCGUUGCAAUGGGUGGCCUUUGUCACGCGAUCUAGUUUAGUCCUGGAUCAUGGCGUGGAUGAUCUGUUUUUCUUUCUACAGCAGCUCCAUACCGUAUUCGCGACAAGCCUGCGGCUUUUCGUGUCGCAACAGUGGUGUCUCUCUCCAGUAACGAUGCCCCAAAUCCCCUUUUCAUACUCUCCCAAUUUCCGAUCAAUAAUCGAAUUAGGGUUUUCAAAAAGUCUUCCCCUUUUUUCUUUUGUGCCUCUUUGAUUCCCCUUGGAAGCAAUCACCUUAGCCGGUAGAUAUUACAUUCUUCAUGGUUGAUCAUGACUAGUGAUGACUGAUGAGGUUGAGAUGUUGUGUGGGUGACGAGCAAGGAAGCUUCUAGGGUUUUUUUGGAAACAUUUUCAGAAUAGGAAGGUUGCUUUCAUAAUCUUUUUAUUUAUUUUUACUUUACUAAUUUUCAUGUUAUAAUUUAAUUAUUUUCACGUAAUAAAAUAUUUACUUUAUCCAG